UCCCCUGGCGGAGGGCGCGCCGCACUCUCGCUCCCCGCGCGUCCUUUGCUGCGAACACCGCAGCAGCGACCCAGCGGGGCAGUGGAACAGACGCGUUUGGGCAGCGCGACCCCGCGGUCGGCGCGUCAGCCGGCAUUUUGCGUAGGCCCGCAGGCGCGGCCAUUUUGCUUUACGGAGGACGGAGAGGCGCGCGCCGCCAUCUUGCCGUCCUGCGGGGCGCGGGGACCAGAUCCCACGUGCUGCAGAGUGUCGCCUUGAGCGCUACGCUUGUGGCGGUCUCGCUGUGGGGCGGCGAGGAGAGGGCCGGAGCCUGGCGGCACGACAGCCUGAGGCCCGGGAUGGUAAUCGCUGCGCGGCCGCGAACUGCUCCCACCGCCGGGCAACGAGGAGAAACCGCUGUCGCCUGCCACAGGGAGCCUGCCUUGAUCUCUGCAAUCAUGAAUGUGGCUGUGCAAAUGCAGCUUGUACCGCCAGGGUGUAGGCGUCUCCCAGACGCUGGGUUGCUUUAAGGGUCCUGGCAGUGCAGGGAAAGGUGGCUCUGCGCUGGAGGUGAGUCCUGGCGAGUCAUCUGACAGCAUCCUGGGUGGAGCAGGGCACAGCCCACACCUCACGGGGAGGCUGACCCUAUGGACUGGGACUCUACAUCUGACAGCAUCCAGGGUAGAGGAGGGCGCGGCCCAUUCCUCACAGGGAGGCUUGCCUUGGGGAAGGGGCUCUUCUCUUCACUUCUUCCUUGGCCUCCCACAGCGUGGUGAGGAGUUUGCCUUCCCCCUGGCCUGGCUCCCUUCAUGAGGGCUUCUGGAAUUCAGCCAGUCUUUUCCUGCGGACUCCGCACUGGAGGUCCCAGAACAGUGCACUGAAGACAUUCUACUUUGAAAACCUUCUGGCAGAUCCUUUUGUUUCAUGUUGCAGGUUGUUACUGAAGUUUGAAAGACCUGAAUGCCAUUUGUUGUCUGUAGCCUCAUUGAAAAUCUACAGUGGGUUGUUGUAAGUUGGAAGUUGUUACAAUCUAUCCAAAGAACUAGUAACAUCAGCUUGUUUCAGAGGCUUCAUAUAAAGGGCUCAAAAUGUGUGGUCCAGUGGUUAAAAGCUGCUCACAGGGAUGACUGGACCCCACUAAGCAUUCUUUCGUCUAUAGUGAACAUUUCACCACAAAAAGCUCUCGGAAAGGCUGAAGGAUCAGUACUAUGUGCUCAAGCCCACGGCCAUGCCCUCCAUCUUCCACCUGAGUGAGAAGGGGGGGCUGAAGGCCCUGGCCGCCCCAGGAGAAAGGACACCAGGAAGGCCGCCGGGGGCCUGAGGAACGUGCGAGUGAAGCAGAUGGGAAAGGAGCUGCAGGUUCAUUGUUGUCCUUGAGGGAAAACCUGCGGGCCCAGCCGGGGUCCCGCAAGUUGAAGCCAGCCGCUCUGCAGGGGUAACCCACGCCCAGGGCUGCCCAGGAAGCCGCCAGUCAGGAGUGGAUGCAGAGUCUCUGGAAGGAACUCCAGGAGACAGUGUGGCCUCCACAGCAUCAGGCAGCCAGGGAGAUGCAAACACGACUGCUGUAGAUGCUGGCGAUGAGACCCCCUCUUCCCAGCCAGGGACUGCUGGGUAAGAGUGGCAUUUCCGUGGGUAACUUUACCCCCCAAGAUCUAGGGCAUGCAGAUUUAUUGGUUGGCUUCCUUCUUACAGUUUCUCCUCAGUGCACGCUCGAGAGAGGCCAUCUGUCUCUUGAGAGGCUGUUGACCGAAAGAGGCUGAAGAGAGACGUGGAGCCCAGCUGCAGCAGGACCAGCCUGGGGGUUGACGAGGGGUUGGCCCAGAGCCCCAAAGUUCAUCAUUCACAAUGAUGCCUCAGAAACCCUCCCAGAGCCCCUCCACCCUCCAACAGACGUCACCCCGAAGACAGCAGCAGAAGCUGUGCAGGCCGAGCACCGUGACACCGGCCCCACGUCCCUCAGUGGAGUCAUCCUGUCAGUGCUGGGGGCCCAGGAACUCCUUGACUCGCUGCACUCCUACUGCUUCUGCUCCCGGGGGAACAGGAGCACGUGUGCCUCCUGCAGGAGCAGGUGGAGAAGAACGGCGAGCUGAAGAGGGGCAGCUGCUGACAGCCAGGUGCACACGCUGCAGGAGGAGCUGGACGAGCUGAAGGGAGGGGGCUCCCUACCUGAGCAGCCUGCCGCCCCCAGCGGAGGUCAGUCCUGGGGCUUGCGGCUCUCCCACUGCCUGCUCAUCGUGAGGGGUUUCCUGCUUCGCAGCAGACUGCCCCUGAGCACUUCUGUGCACAGCAUGUUUGCUGCUGACUUGGGAGAAGGCUCUGCUGGUAGCCGCCCCUCGCAGACAGGGAGCCCAGGUUGCAGAGCUCACCCUGCUCGCUCUGGGGCGCUCGAGAGGCAGCGGUAGCUGUCAGGGUUUAGCAGGCGGGAAAGGAGGCAUUGCAGGUCAGCUGGGAAAGCCAGACCUACCCAAUGAAUGGUGCCUGGAUGGUUGGUUUUCCACUUCAACAGGAGAAAAUCAGCUUCUGUUGCAUCCCUCACACAAAUGUAAAUUCCAAUGAGUUAGGAUCUAAAUGUGAAAUAAAAUCGACAUAGUAAAGUAUUAGAAAAGUAAUAAGAGACUCUUAAAGUCAUGAGGUUCUUUCCAUUCAUAUUUUAAUGAAUAUACUUGAACUGAAGUCAUUUUGAACAUUUUAAUAAUUUCUUUAAAAUUUUAAACAUCUUUUUGAGUAGAAUACAUUGUCUUUUGUAAAAAUUAAAACAACACAGAAAUAUAUAAGCUAAGAAGUGGUAAAAACUCCUAUUUCUCACCUACUUUCCAACUUUUAUUUCUUGUCAGUAGUAAAAUUUGGUGUGUUAUCUCAUCGACUGUUCCCUGUGCUUUACAUGCAUAUUUCUCCACCUGUACGAAUAGGUUGGAUGUAUUUUUGGUGUGGUUAUUGGUUAUGUUUUUGAUUUUCCUGCUCUUUUACAGUUUAGUCCUUGUAAACGUUGGUUUCUCAAUAUUCCUUACAUAUUGAGGAUACCAUCUUUUCUCUGUUACACAUCCAUGGAGAACAUUUCCCAGCACAUUGUUCAUUUAAUCUGGAUCAGGGCUUGUCUUCCCAGAUGUCAGUAACACUUCAGGUGGGAAACGGGUGUAUGUGUCAGGCUGUUCAGUAUCUCCAGGACCCCCGGGGCAACAACCAUUAGGACAACACAAAGCAAGAAACAAAACCCAUCCUGCGUGUUUCCAGAUGUAUCCUGAGGGAAGGACAGCUCCAGUUGAGGACUGCUGAUGUCCUGGUCAGAGUUAUCUGCUAUGUUCUCCUAUCAUGUUAAAGCUGUUUCUGGGGAGCUAGCACCUAACCUCUUAACGUUUGUCUUACCUGAUGGUACAGUUUGGUAUAUUUGUCUGUUUCUCUUGGUCGGACUGUGAAUGUUUCUCACUGUUACAGGUCUUUCCAGACAGCCAGCCCUUGACUCCAUUGCUCAUGUCUACGUUGUUGUUCCUGCCUCAUGAAUCCUCGCUUCAUUCUGCUGCCUUUGGUUUUAUUGUGGUGGUGUUCUGGCUCCUGAGGGAAGUGCUCAGCUUCUUCGUGUACGGUUGAUAGUCCCUGAUACCUGCAGUGGAGGCUGUGUCCCUUCUGUCCCUUUGUCCCCAUGCCACGGAUUUGCCUCUUGCUGCUCUCAUUGCUGUUCAUUUCUAAAGAGUUUGUCCUGUCUGUCUGGAUCCCCCCUGUAACCUGAGAGAUUUAGAAGGGUGUGCUUAGAUUUUCAAGUGAAUAGGUUGGGGGAGGGGAGCCAAUAUUUUGUGAUUAUUUUUUACUGUAAUUGCUGUAAGGUCUGGUAAUAUGAUCACUUAUAGAUUUCUGCUUUGUGGACUCUUUAGAGAUUUCGUUGUGGCUUAGCACACAGUCCAUUGUGGUGACUGUUUCAUUGUGGUUUGAGGAGAAUGUAUCCUCUCCUCUAGUUGCUUAUGUUGUCGUCCGUCAGGAUGAGGCUAGAUCUAGCUUUUUUGUGUUUAUAAGCAGAUCUGUUUCCUAACGUACUGUGUCACUUGACCUGUGGAUUUCUAAGAGAGGUAAGGUCAGUUGCCCUGUGAUUCUGGAGGUGCCUGUGUCUUCUUGUUUGUCCAGUUUUGCUUUAUGUUUCAAGACCAUAUUGUUAGGUACAUAAGUGUUCCUGCCAGUUAUCAACACAGAAAACCCCUUUUUGUCCCAUUUAAAUUCUUAUUUCUUUAUCUCCUUAUUUUCAACCAUAUUAUAUCCUUUUAUUUUAUAACAAUAUUUUAACUCAACUUGAGAGCCUUCAUGUUUUUCUAGAGCGAUUUGAUCCAUUUACAAUUGUGAUUAUUGAUAAAUUGGAAUGUGAGUUUACCAUUUAAUUUAAUUUUUAAUUUGUUAGGUUUUCUCAUGAUUUUUCUAUUUUUUUAGUGGGUGUCUUUCAGCUUUUAGGAACAACCCUUUCUGCCUCUCUUUCAGUAAAUGCUUCGAGUUGAUCAGUUCCUGUGUUCUACACUCCCAGUUCAUCACCUUCUGGUCCCCAGUUUGAGAAUAUCUGAUCUUAGCUCUGUGUUCUUAUUUUCUCCAUCAAGCAACCAUGAUUGGAUCAGGGUAAGCACUUCUGCUGGGGUACAAUAGGUGAUUGGAGGCCAAGUGACAGACCCUGCGACUCCUGAUUCCCAGUGCACGGACAGGCCUCUCAGCCCAUUGGACAUAAAUGGUGGUGGUGUUUGUGAAGCAUCUUGCUGGCAGUGUGGAAGGAAUGGAAUCAUAAACCAGUCAAUCGGGAAUCGCCUGAUGAGCAGCAGUUUGGUGGCAGCAGUGGGAUUCAAAGGAGACAUCGGAUGGAUUUGGGGAUGAGAAACAUAGGCAUUGGUACCCGCAAAACCUUUGAGUUCUCCAUCUUUUUUGCUGUUUCUGAGGACCGUGGUGGGAAGUCCAUCUCCACCUGUGGCUGUUAAGGAGCAUGAGAAGAAGCCCAACCUCACAGCCUUCCUCCUAAGCUGGUGGUGGAGCAGUUGACCCUGAUGGAUUAGGUGAGCAGCUGGGCUGUCAGGACGGGGUGGGGCAGGUCUUCCCUCUGCCAUCAUUGCCCCAGACCUGAUCCGCACUCCUAUGACCAAAUCCUGGCUCCACCCCUUACCAACCGUACGACCUGGGCAACUUUCUGAACCCCCAAGGCUUUGCUGUCCACCUGCAGAGCGUAGAGGUGGACACUAACAGGACCUGCUGCACAGAGUGGGUGUGCCAACUCCAUGAGGAGCUCUUCCGGAAGGUGCUGCCCUCUCAGUGCCUGGGCUCCAACUGGGGCAAGAGGAACAAGCCCGGCAAUGAGCACCUGGCACCCACCCUCCAGGCCACCGUCGACCACUUCAGAAGGGUGGUCAGCCUCGUCGUCACCACCUGCCUCGGGGACCCAAGCAUGACGGCCCAGGACAGGGCGAGGGUGGUGGAGCACUGGAUCCAGGUGGCCCAGGAGUGCGAGAUCCUGAAGAUCUUCUCCUUGCCCCGCACUGUCAUCUCUGCUCUGCAGAAACCCUCCAUAAACCACCUGAAGAACACACGGGGGAAGUUUCCCGGGAGAGCUCUGAAAAACUUAAGGAGCUUUAUAGCCACAACAAGUCCUUGAGCAGAGAACUGAUGACCAAGGAGGGGCCCUCCACCUUUGCCCCCCCGGAGAGCAGCCCCCAGAGAGUGCAGGAGAAGCAGCAGCAGCAGCAGCAGCAGGUGAGUGGUGUUGUCCCCUAUCUUGGUACUUUCCUCGGUGACCUGCUGAUGCUGCACCUGGUGAAGGGUGAUUAUCUCAAGGUGGGUGAACAUGGGGACCAAGCAGGGUGGACCAGGAUCCUGAGCCUUGGGAUGCACGAGCCCCCGAACUGAGCUCUGAGCUCUCAGCACUUGGCUCAUCUCUCAUGAGAGCCUCGCAGCCGCCCCUGGGAGCUGGGGCAGCAGACCCAUCUUAGGGAUGAGUGAACAGAGGCUCCGCCUGAGACACCCAUUCCGGUUCCCCAGGCUGGGGAAGCUCAGAGCUGCCUGAUGGCUCAGCUGCAUGAGGUUUUAUCUGAGCUGGACUCUGCCUCUCCGUCCCAUGCUGCCCAUGGGGGAGAGAGAUGUCAGGUCCCUCCAAGUCAGGCAGCACAUAAGUGGCUGAGCAGUCUCCUCUGCCUGAGGCCUCAGCCUCCAAGUCUGUCAUCAGAGAGCGUUGUGCUGCCAGGUCCCUUAGCCUCUCCCCCAUGUCCUCCUUCUCUGGAAGCCCAGAGCACGGCCUAGGUCCAAGUCCUGUUUUCUCUGCAUGCCCGGCCCCCUCUGGGGACCUGGCAGUAGUGCAACAUGAGAAGGGGUGGGCAUAGAGGGCUAGUCAGUCUAGGGGGCUCUGUCUGAUGGACUCUGGCUGUCUGCCUUCCAGGGGAAUGAGAUCAACCUUGAGAAGAGGACUGAGGAGCAGCUGCGGCACUCCCUGCAGGGGAGGGGAAGGAGGUGGAAAUCAGAGACCCUCUGGGCAGAACAGUCCCUGUUUCCACCCCGUGUACCUUACAUUGAGUGGAAGAGAUUGAUAACAGAGAAGUGGGAGACCCAUCCAAUUGGCGGGAAUACCGACUCAUGAGGGAGAUCCUGCUACUCCAAGUGGCUGCAAAGAAUUACAACCAGAUCCCCAGGAGCAAUUUGGGGCCUGAUUCCAGGACAUGGAGCUGCUCAAUGAGAAUGAUAGCUACAGCCUGUCCCGCCAGUUGGAGCCCCAGACCUAGUUGGCCAGCAGAAUACUCAAGGCCAAGAAGAACCACCCAUCAUCAAGGUCAGGGGUCAAAGACCAAGGGCAGAGGUCAUCAAGAGGUCAAGCCUAAUCUACCUACAGAUGUGGCAGGCUUAACUAUGGAUGUUCAAGCCAAACAUUGCCAGCAGAAUCACAUCUCUUCACCCAUAGGCUGCCAUGAUCCUCCCUCUGGACCCUGUGGUCAGGGUCGCUGCAGAGAUCCUCCUUUUGGACCCCACCCGCCUGAAGGGCCUAUACCUUGGUCAGGCAUCUUAGAAGGACUGCCAUGAACCAUGUCAUAAAAAGGAGAAAACAUCACAGUGGACAGCCCCAAUUCCUACAUAUACAGACGGGAAACUUAGGUGCACUGCUUCUCUGAUUGACUCCAAAUACUACAGCACCACAGGCUUCUAGACUGGUGGAUGCGCAGCUCCACUUCUUUGCAGGGAGGACGCACAACAGCAGAAUAUCCGUGGCCCGACUUUCUGGAGCAUCAGUAUUACUACAAGAUUUGGAAGAAGCAAAGUUAGGUCAUUUCCAAGAUGAGUCCACCUUAAGGAUCACCCUUAAAAGAGAAGAUUCAAAACCUCUCAUAAUGGAAUGCAGUCUUGGAUUAAUAUGCAGAAACUUCUAAAAGACAAAGUUACUGAACAUGAUAUAAAAUGAUCUUUGGUAAAUGAAAGCCUGUUUAAGUUUGCGGGUUUGAUUUAAAAUAGGCAUGUUUUCAGAGUUAUCAACAUUGGAUAUAAUGCAGACAUGUUCUCUCUGUUACAAAAUUUGUCAGCAAAAUAACAUAGAAUAAUAGCUGAUUUUGUUAGAUGUCUCAUGAGAUUUUUGUAGACAAUCUAAAUUGUUGAGGACAGGUAAGCUAAAUAGAUAUGGAAAAGGAUAAAAGUUUUUGGAGACGGUUUUUAACAAUAAUUAUGCAUUAUGGUGUAUGUACUUAAAAAAACUGCUUUAUUAUCAUAAAAAUUUUUUGUGAAUAACCUAAAUGUAAUUAUUGGAAAUAAAUGAUUUAGAUAAAUAAAAAAUAAAUAAAUAAAUAAAAUAAAAGGGUAUAACUCAAGAACAGCCUGAUGGAAGUGGUGCAUAGGGAAAGGUGUGUGAGAAGGGGCACAGAGCUUUCAUGCCAUCUCCAGGUGCACCACUCUCCAGGCACUCCUUGUCAUUGCCACCCUGGAAGCUCUCUGAACCUCCUUCUACUGGGAUUUUUAUGGAGGCUCCCUCAUGCAGGCAUGAUCAAUUAUUAACUCAGUUUCCAGCCCCUCUCCCCUCUCUGGAGGAUAAGGGGUAGGGCUAAAAAUUCCAAGCUUCUAAUCAGGGCUUGGUCUUUCUGAUGACCAGCCCCCAUCCAAGAGCCCACCCAGAGUUGCCUCAAUAGAACAAAAGAUUCUCCUAGUGUUCUUAUCACUUGGGAAAUUACAAGGGUUUUAGGAGCUCUGUGUCAGGGAUGGGGUCAAAGACAAAUAUUAGAACAAGAGAUGCUCCUAGUGUUCAUAUCAUUUAGGAAAUUACAAGGGUUUUAGGACCUUUGUUAUAGGAACUGGAGGCAGACACCAAUAAAUGUAUUUUCUAUUAUUUCAGAACCCAUAAGUGGAAUUUCUAGAUCCUGUGGUAAUUCUAUUUUUAAUUUUUGAAGGAACUGCCAUACUGUUUUCCACAGUUUUAUAUUCUCACCAUCAGAGUAUAAGGGUUCCAAUUUGUCAACAUCCUUGCCAACACUUGUUAUUUUCUGAUUUUGUGACAGUAACUAUCCUAAUGGGUGUGAAGAGGUAUCUCAUUGUGGUUUUAUUUCGCAUUUUCCUGAUACUUAGUGAUGUUGAGCAUCUUUUCAUUUGUUUACUGGCCAUUUUAUAUCUUUGGAGAAAUGUGUAUUCAAGUCCUUUGUACAUUUUUAAAUUGGGUUUUUUUUUAUUGUUGAGUUGUAGGAGUUCUUUAUAUAUUCUAGUUAUUAAUCCCUUAUCAGAUAUGUGAUUUGCAAAUAUUUUCAGCCAUUCUGUGUGUUGCCUUUUUACUCUGUUGAUUGUAUCUUGUGCUACAGAAAACCUUUGCAUUUUAACUAAGUCCAAUUUGUUAUUUUUUUUGUUGCUUAUGUCUUUGGUGUCAUAUUAAAGAAAUCAUUGUUGGCAAUGGCA